GCCGGGCGUUGUGGCGGGCGCCUGUGGUCCCAGCUACUUGGGAGGCUGAGGCAGGAGACUCACUUGAGCCCAGGAGUUGGAGGUUGCUGUGAGCUGUGACACCACAGCACUCUACCAAGGGCAAUGAAGUGAGACUCUGUCUCAA
rnacentral:SRP_RNA from 1 species